UACGUAGGUGGCGAGCGUUAUCCGGAUUUACUGGGUGUAAAGGGCGUGUAGGCGGGUUUGCAAGUCGGGUGUGAAAGAUUCGGGCUUAACCCGGAGAGGUCAUCCGAAACUGCAGAUCUUGAGUGCUGGAGAGGAUAGUGGAAUUCCUGGUGUAGCGGUAAAAUGCGUAGAGAUCAGGAGGAACACCAGUGGCGAAGGCGGCUAUCUGGACAGUAACUGACGCUGAGGCGCGAAAGCGUGGGGAGCAAACAGGAUUAGAAACCCCUGUAGUCC
rnacentral:rRNA from 1 species